UCCAAUUCUAAUUGUGUAAGUUAAGCUUGCCUAAGGGAAAGGUUUUAAUUCAAAUAGCAGAGGGAAUCAAUAAAGAUAGAGCCCUCCCCUGCUCUUCCCCCCACAGACUUCUGCUAAGAUUGGCAUCCAGCAAAGGACCAGCAUGAGAUCAGUGUGUAGUGACAUCACCCUCUUGGUGUGCUGAGUGUCACUGAGGGACAGAGCCAAGUGGAGCAGGGAGGGAAAAGGAGCCGACCCAGGAAAUUGGGGCAGAGCAAUGUCCUCAGGAGGGCACUAAGCAUGAGUCCAAACAGGGACAUAGAUACAUCCAACCCACUUGAGUGAAGUCAGGUUUAAGAAACAAAGGGCAUCUGUUCUGGUGUAAGCAGAAUAGAUUGCACAUCUACAGAGGUCACAGCAUCAUUGGGGAGUCAUAAAAAUCCAGUCAUUUCAGGAACUUUGCCAAGGAAGACAAUGGAGACAGAAGAAAAGGUGGAAAUCAAACUUCAUCAAAGCUAAGAUCAAGAUUCUUGAGAAGAAAUCCUGCUGAAUUCACUUCACAUCUGCUCCUUCUCAUUGAUGGUUAUGGAUUAUUUUCGUCAACAAGAGAGAAAACACAACCACAACAAAACUUCACAAGUUGCCCACAAAGUGUGUGAUGAUGGCAGAGGCUAACACUGUUCAGGGUAAGUAAAACCAGAACCGUCGCCCCAUGCAUGCUAAUCCACUGUUCUUUUCACCGUAGCUAAUUUCUUAUUUAUGACAAAAUCUGUAUUGCCUUAGGCAGUUACUUAAAAGCUCAUUAUAGUGAAUACUUGGAUGUUUUAGAAACAAAAUAGGAGCGUUAACCAUAAAUAUUGAUUGCAGCCCUAAGUGAAUGUGUGUGAACUCCUUUGCCUUAUAAAAAAAGAAAAAGGGAGAGACAGAAAGAUCUACUCCAACAGGUCAGAUAGGAAUUACAC
rnacentral:lncRNA from 1 species